GGGGCUGACCGGUUUUGACAGCAGGUUGAAUCUUUAGGUAAGCAUGUCGAGCCAUGUGAUAAAGCUCGUAAAUCCGUGUCACACACUUUUUAUUUGGCGAAUAUAAUUUUGCUCUCGCAGCCUAACCGAAGUUUAGUAAGUUAAGGCCUAAUUCCCUGGUCAAGGUUACCGGGGACGGGACGGUCCGCAGGUGGAGAUGUCUGAUUCCGGCCUGAUCACGGACCGCACGCAACUUCAGACUGGUUCAGGGUUUGCUUCGCACCCGGGAUGAGAAACAGAGGCUAAGACAGUGUUUAGGAUGCUUGUUUCCUUGCACUGCCCGAAAAUCAACAACAAGCUAAGCAUGUAGAAAGCUUAUCGGUUGCCUGUUUGGACGAGGGUUCGAAUCCCUCCAGCUCCAC
rnacentral:tmRNA from 1 species